CCUACGGGAGGCAGCAGUGAGGAAUAUUGGACAAUGGGCGCAAGCCUGAUCCAGCCAUGCCGCGUGCAGGAAGACGGUCCUAUGGAUUGUAAACUGCUUUUGUACAGGAAGAAACACUCCCUCGUGAGGGAGCUUGACGGUACUGUAAGAAUAAGGAUCGGCUAACUCCGUGCCAGCAGCCGCGGUAAUACGGAGGAUCCAAGCGUUAUCCGGAAUCAUUGGGUUUAAAGGGUCCGUAGGCGGUUUAAUAAGUCAGUGGUGAAAUCUGGUCGCUCAACGAUCAAACGGCCAUUGAUACUGUUAGACUUGAAUUAUUAGGAAGUAACUAGAAUAUGUAGUGUAGCGGUGAAAUGCUUAGAUAUUACAUGGAAUACCAAUUGCGAAGGCAGGUUACUACUAAUGGAUUGACGCUGAUGGACGAAAGCGUGGGGAGCGAACAGGAUUAGAUACCCUGGUAGUCCACGCCGUAAACGAUGGAUACUAGCUGUUCGGAGCAAUCUGAGUGNGUAGAGAAGUAGAUAAGUAUACCACCGUACGGGAGGUACGUUACGUCGAAGAAGUAGAAACGUUAAAAGGUAAAGUUAGUACGGACGUGAGACGUAGCCGACGGACGACGACGAGGGAGGAGGGAGG
rnacentral:rRNA from 1 species